GGCGAGAUGGCCGAGUGGUCUAAGGCGCCAGACUAAGGUUUUCGAAGAGCGUAUCUGGUCCGAAAGGGCGUGGGUUCGAAUCCCACUCUCGUCA